AUUGAAAUUACACAUUCUCUGAUCAUCCAGCUUAAUAAAUAAAGGCGGUUUGCACAGCAAGGGAUUUUGGAAUGUGUUCAGUUCCCCAAAUCAAGAACACGUCAGUAUAAUAUGUGCUUAAAGUGCUUCAUGGCAGUAAGAUCAUAGUGGGUCAAAAUUAGUUUGGAAAUAUUUUACUUCCUUAACUGUGAAUGUGGUUAGGAUUAACUCGUUUUGUAAAAAUGUGGCUAUUGCAGACAUCAGCUUCGCUUAAAAUUGUUGAAAGGCAAAAAACAGAUGCUCUGAUGCACAAGGGAGAAAACAAGAUACUGAGAGGGAGAUACAGUGUUUCAGGAAACACGAAGAUGGUUAAUCCUCAAAAAGGAUUCGUUAAAAAGACUGUAGGAACAAAGCAGCUUCCAAAACUAAAGCACUGAUUUAAUAUUAAUGCCAAGACCUUCCAAUUGCUUUUAAAAAAUUUAAUUUAACAGGAAGUUUCUAAAUUGAAAAUGAAUGUAUUUGUGCCAUCCUAUUAUACCAAACCCAGAUCGGUAUGUCUUCUUGGCAGCCUUAAUGUAAGUGUUCCUCUGCCUAAAGGAAUUGUUCUUCUAGUUGGCACCUUUAUUCUGGUGAUCUCUGACCCUUUUCACUCUGGUUCUCAUCAGUGACUCAGGAAGCCUUGGAAACAUUGAAGUCCUUUAUACAUUAGGUAGAUCCUUGAACUCUUUGACUGCACAGCAACCACUAAAAACAAACAAACCUCUACAAUUUUUGAUCUCAACCAAGAAGAAGAAAAAGGCAGACUGAUGUAACCUGAAGUAUUAUCUCACCACUCCGAAUGGUAAAUCUCAGAUAAAAUCCAUCCAAGGGCAUCCUCAUUCAGUACAGGCCCCAGAGAGAGACUCUCAAGUAGUCGUAUGAUGGUACAGCUGAACACACCUUUCAUUUAGCUUUUGAAUAGACUGACAGCAUGGUUUACAAGCCAGCCUGAUUUCUUAUGUGAUACCAUACUGUAGGGUCCCUUUACAGCAUAACGUUGUUUUAUAUUCUAUGAGCUUCCUCACUGUAGCAGAGAAGACAAUACAACUCCAAAUUUAACUAUUUUAAAAGCUGGCUUGCUGCAGAUCAUGUGUUGACCACCACUUUCUGUUUGCAUAGUUUAGAAGCACAGCACCAUUUCAUAGAAUCAUAGAAUCAUUUUGGU
rnacentral:lncRNA from 1 species